UCAAAGCCAAAAAGGAGCCGUACACCCAAUGGAAGGGAGGGCCAUCACCAAGGAGGAUUAUGUCUCCAUUGCUUGAGAUUGUAGGGUGGCUGUAAGGCAGGCUAAGGCAGAGAUGGAACUGGGACUAGCGAUCCAGAUGAAGGAUAACAGGAAGUCCUUUU